rnacentral:rRNA from 1 species
AUUGAACGCUGGCGGCAUGCUUUACACAUGCAAGUCGAACGGUAACAGGUUAAGCUGACGAGUGGCGAACGGGUGAGUAAUGCAUCGGAACGUGCCCGAUCGUGGGGGAUAACGCAGCGAAAGCUGCGCUAAUACCGCAUACGAUCUGAGGAUGAAAGCGGGGGACCGUAAGGCCUCGCGCGAUCGGAGCGGCCGAUGUCAGAUUAGGUAGUUGGUGGGGUAAAGGCCCACCAAGCCGACGAUCUGUAGCUGGUCUGAGAGGACGACCAGCCACACUGGGACUGAGACACGGCCCAGACUCCUACGGGAGGCAGCAGUGGGGAAUUUUGGACAAUGGGCGAAAGCCUGAUCCAGCAAUGCCGCGUACAGGAAGAAGGCCUUCGGGUUGUAAACUGCUUUUAUACGGAGCGAAAAGGUCCUUUCUAAUACAAGGGGCUCAUGACGGUACCGUAAGAAUAAGCACCGGCUAACUACGUGCCAGCAGCCGCCGUAAGAC